UACAGAGGGGGCAAGCGUUGUUCGGAAUUAUUGGGCGUAAAGGGCGCGUAGGCGGCUUUGCAAGUGGCGGGUGAAAUCCCUCGGCUUAACCGAGGAACUGCCUGUCAAACUGCAUGGCUUGAGACCAGGAGAGGUGAGUGGAAUUCCCAGUGUAGCGGUGAAAUGCGUAGAUAUUGGGAGGAACACCAGUGGCGAAGGCGGCUCACUGGACUGGUACUGACGCUGAUGCGCGAAAGCGUGGGGAGCAAACAGG
rnacentral:rRNA from 1 species